rnacentral:rRNA from 1 species
GAUGAACGCUGGCGGCGUGCUUAACACAUGCAAGUCGAACGGAAAGACGCGGCGCUUGCCUGGCGGACGUUAGACGCGGGCGGGAGAGAAACGCGCGUAUACAGUCCUUGUAAGUAAGGGAUCACAAGGGGAACUAGGAGCUCAUACGAUAUAUGAUUUUGAACCGCGGGGUGCAAUGGUGAGCGCCGGUUGUGCUGGCACUUAUAGAUGAUUCCGAGCCGGAUUAGCUAGUUGGUAAGGUAAAGGCUUACCAAGGCAACGAUGCGUAGCCGGCCUGAGAGGGUGAUCGGCCACACUGGAACUGAGACACGGCCCAGACUCCUACGGGAGGCAGCAGUAGGGAAUCUUGGGCAAUGGGCGAAAGCCUGACGGAGCAACGCCGCGUGAGUGAUGAAGGCCUUCGGAUCGUAAAACUCUGUUAUGAGGGAAGAACAGAUUUGGAAGUAAACAUGGACGUAUUGACGGUACCGAAUCAGAAAGCCCCGGCUAACUACGUG